rnacentral:rRNA from 1 species
GCAUAUCAAUAAGCGGAGGAAAAGAAACCAACAGGGAUUGCCCCAGUAACGGCGAGUGAAGCGGCAACAGCUCAAAUUUGAAAUCUGGCCCCCAGGGCCCGAGUUGUAAUUUGCAGAGGAUGCUUUUGGCAAGGCGCCGCCCGAGUUCCCUGGAACGGGACGCCGCAGAGGGUGAGAGCCCCGUCUGGCUGGACGCCGAGCCUUUGUAAAGCUCCUUCGACGAGUCGAGUAGUUUGGGAAUGCUGCUCAAAAUGGGAGGUAUAUGUCUUCUAAAGCUAAAUAUUGGCCAGAGACCGAUAGCGCACAAGUAGAGUGAUCGAAAGAUGAAAAGCACUUUGAAAAGAGGGUUAAACAGUACGUGAAAUUGUUGAAAGGGAAGCGCUCAUGACCAGACUUGGGCUUGGCGGAUCAUCCGGCGUUCUCGCCGGUGCACUUCGCCUCGCCCAGGCCAGCAUCAGUUCGCCCCGGGGGACAAAAGCUUCGGGAAUGUGGCUCCUCCGGGAGUGUUAUAGCCCGCUGCAUAAUACCCUGGGGCGGACUGAGGUUCGCGCGUCCGCAAGGAUGCUGGCGUAAUGGUCAUCAGCGACCCGUCUUGAAACACGGACCAAGGAGUCGUCCUCGUAUGCGAGUGUUCGGGUGUCAAACCCCUACGCGUAAUGAAAGUGAACGCAGGUGAGAGCUUCGGCGCAUCAUCGACCGAUCCUGAUGUUCUCGGAUGGAUUUGAGUAAGAGCAUACGGGGCCGGACCCGAAAGAAGGUGAACUAUGCCUGUAUAGGGUGAAGCCAGAGGAAACUCUGGUGGAGGCUCGCAGCGGUUCUGACGUGCAAAUCGAUCGUCAAAUAUGGGCAUGGGGGCGAAAGACUAAUCGAACCUUCUAGUAGCUGGUUUCCGCCGAAG